UCAAGCAACUAAGCGCAUACGGUGGAUGCCUUGGCAGUCAGAGGCGAUGAAAGACGUGGAAGCCUGCGAUAAGGUUCGGGGAGCUGGCAAACAAGCUGUGAUCCGGGCAUUUCUGAAUGGGGAAACCCACCUAGUUUCGGCUAGGUAUCUUGCACUGAAUACAUAGGUGUAAGAGGCGAACCGGGGGAACUGAAACAUCUAAGUACCCCGAGGAAAAGAAAUCAACCGAGAUUCCCUAAGUAGCGGCGAGCGAACGGGGACUAGCCCUUAAGCUAGACAACUGGUAGGAGAAGGCUCUGGAAAGUGCCGCCAUAGUGGGUGAUAGCCCCGUAUCCGAAACCUGAGUCUAGUGAAAUCGAGUAGGACGGGACACGUGAUAUCCUGUCUGAACAUGGGGGGACCAUCCUCCAAGGCUAAAUACUCCUGACUGACCGAUAGUGAACCAGUACCGUGAGGGAAAGGCGAAAAGAACCCCUGUGAGGGGAGUGAAAUAGAUCCUGAAACCGUAUGCGUACAAGCAGUCGGAGCAGACUUGUUCUGUGACGGCGUACCUUUUGUAUAAUGGGUCAGCGACUUAUGUUCAGUGGCGAGGUUAACCGUUUAGGGGAGCCGUAGGGAAACCGAGUCUGAAUAGGGCGAUUUAGUCGCUGGGCAUAGACCCGAAACCGGGCGAUCUAUCCAUGAGCAGGUUGAAGGUGCCGUAACAGGCACUGGAGGACCGAACCCACUGUCGUUGAAAAGCCAGGGGAUGACUUGUGGAUCGGAGUGAAAGGCUAAUCAAGCCCGGAGAUAGCUGGUUCUCCCCGAAAGCUAUUUAGGUAGCGCCUCGGACGAAUACCACAGGGGGUAGAGCACUGUUUCGGCUAGGGGGUCAUCCCGACUUACCAACCCGAUGCAAACUCCGAAUACCUGUGAGUACUAUCCGGGAGACACACGGCGGGUGCUAACGUCCGUCGUGAAGAGGGAAACAACCCAGACCGCCAGCUAAGGUCCCCAAAUUCCAGUUAAGUGGGAAACGAUGUGGGAAGGCUCAGACAGCUAGGAGGUUGGCUUAGAAGCAGCCAUCCUUUAAAGAAAGCGUAAUAGCUCACUAGUCGAGUCGGCCUGCGCGGAAGAUGUAACGGGGCUCAAACUGGUUACCGAAGCUGCGGCUGCAUACUCUGUAUGCGGGGUAGGGGAGCGUUCUGUAAGCCUGCGAAGGUGAGUUGAGAAGCUUGCUGGAGGUAUCAGAAGUGCGAAUGCUGACAUGAGUAACGACAAUGGGAGUGAAAAACUCCCACGCCGGAAGACCAAGGUUUCCUGCGCAACGCUAAUCGGCGCAGGGUGAGUCGGCCCCUAAGGUGAGACCGAAAGGUGUAAUCGAUGGGAAACGGAUUAAUAUUUCCGUACCUUGGAUAGCUGCGAUGGAGAGACGGAGAAGGCUAGGUGAGCUGGGCGACGGUUGUCCCGGUUUAAGCGUGUAGGGAGUGGGUUUAGGCAAAUCCGGACCCACAAUUCUGAGACGCGACGACGAGCACCCUUAACGGGAGCGAAGUCAUUGAUGCCAUGCUUCCAGGAAAAUCUUCUAAGCUUCAGGCUAUUUGAGACCGUACCCCAAACCGACACAGGUGGUCAGGUAGAGAAUACCAAGGCGCUUGAGAGAACUCGGGUAAAGGAACUAGGCAAAAUGGUGCCGUAACUUCGGGAGAAGGCACGCCGGUGGUAUGUGACGCCCUUCGCGGGUUGAGCAGAAGCCGGUCGAAGAUACCAGGCCCCUGCGACUGUUUAUUAAAAACACAGCACUGUGCAAACUCGUAAGAGGACGUAUACGGUGUGACGCCUGCCCGGUGCCGGAAGGUUAAUUGAUGGGGUUAUCCUUAGGGAGAAGCUCUUGAUCGAAGCCCCGGUAAACGGCGGCCGUAACUAUAACGGUCCUAAGGUAGCGAAAUUCCUUGUCGGGUAAGUU
rnacentral:rRNA from 1 species